rnacentral:lncRNA from 1 species
CAUGUCUGUUCCUGCUGGACAAUAAAUUCAUAAAUGAGGAAACUAAGGCUCAGAAAGGGUAAGUGAUUUGCCCGAGGUCAGACAGUUAGUGUCUGAGGCAAGAUUUGAACUCAGGUCUUUCUAGCUCCCAUCUAGCACUACCUGUUCCACUGUACCUACUAUUUCUAUAAGUUUUUAAAAGCCUAGAAUCAAAUUUACACUUGAUAUAAUUAGCAAAGAACCAUCAUCUUCUAUACAAUAUGUUUUCAAGCUGUUUUCUCUAAUGCAGUGAGUUCUGAUUUGGAGAAUUCUUGGCAUAAAAUAGUUCUCCCUGCAGGCCAGAUUACCUACUCAUACCUAGCUCUUGCAACUGUGGAAAUUUUUUCUUGGAACUUUACUUGUAAGUAUUUUUCAUUUACUGUAAUAUACUAUUAGAGUUGAAAGGGAUCUUUGGAAGUCCAACUCCCUCAUUUUGACUGAGCUAGGUCUGGAACCCAGGUGGUCUCUUAUCUACUAGCCCCACACCACACCAUAACAUUUUCAUAGUCAAGUGGCUGCAGCAGAAUUCAUGUUUCACUUUUUUUUUUUAGCGGGGAUGGCACAUUCUCUCAUGCCUCAACAGUAAUCAAAGAACAAUGCAGCCUGAUUGUCUGCUCAUCACCAUGAAUGUGGAGCCAGCCAUCAGAAGGGAGAGCUUUCUAGUUGCCUUGGUCUGGAGAGGAGAGCUGUCCAAAUCUGUGUCCCAGAAGCCACCUUCUGAGAUACUACCUCAACAUGGCACACUGAAUAUACAUCAGCAUAAAGUCGGUCAGCCAGGCAAUAAACAUUUAUCAAACACCAUGAGCCAAAAAGAGCUUGCCUAAUGGAAAAGGAUCCAGGAUCCUUCAAGGCAUCCUAUACAAUGUGGUGCUUUGAUCCCCUGGAGAGGAAAUGCCUCCAGUUCUUGUAUGGAGGGUGUGUAGGAAAUGAAAACAGAUUUCUCACCAGAAGGGAGUGUUAUCAGAGAUGUGCUCCAAAAUCAGCUGACAACAGCCUGUUCUGGGAUGAGGAUGAAGAAAUUAACAUUGGUCUUAUUGUGGGGAUCAUCGUGGGAUGUGUGUCAAUAAUUGUUUUGCUUGUGACACUGACUGUGGUCUUCUUGAAGAAGAAGAAGAAGAAGAAGAAGAAGAAGAAGAAGAAGAAGAAAAAGAAGAAGAGGCAUGGGAAAGGAAAAGAAACACAGCAACUGAAUGUUAAAUUGACCUGAAACAAGAAGCAAUUUGUAUUCAGGCUAAUCACAU